AUAGGUUGUUUCUUUGAUUGUUUACGCUAGAGUCGUAACAUUCUCAUUGUAUUUUGUAGGAAAAAUCCCAAGAAGAGGGUGACACUAGGCGUGAAUGGGAGAUGAGAACCUAGUUAUCGAGGGAAUGGAGAAAAUAAAAUUCAACAAAGGCGGAGUAAGAGAGGGUAAAAAAAAUAAAAAUGGUUGCGCCACAACACGGCGCUGCGGCGCCACGCUGCCUAAACCUAUCCUUUCCCCAGUGAUUUAUUUAUUUUAUUUUUAUUUCUCAAAAUUUUUCUGUUGUUUUCCAACUUCUCCGUCCCCAAAUCUCUCUCAAACCCUACAUCUCUUACUCUUCUUCUUCCAUAUCCUAUAUACUAAUCUCUUUCGUACAUAUCAAGCCCAUUAUCUUCAACACCACCAAUGCAUAGAUCUCACACCUCAACAGAACUUUAACUUAGUGGGCUUUCUACACAUGGAAGGAGUGCUCAAUGCCAUCUAUUAAGAAAUCAAAAUCUUCGACCUCUUCAUAAAGCUCCUUUGACAACAGUAAAUUUGUGGGUGAGAAGCAAAGAAUCGAUAUAAUGACAUUGUAGUUCACAAAAAUUAUAUUCCAGGACGGAGUUUUGACGACCUUGAGCUUUAUAUAAUGGAACAGAUUAAGGGUAGGAAUUGGAAGUUUUUUACAGAGCAACCACGGUCAGGGUUAGUAGCAAUGGUGCAUGAAUUUUUCGCAAAUGUUAAGGACCACAAGGAUUUAAAGGUUUAUGUUAGAGGAAAGUGGAUCUGUUUUGACAAACCUUCGAUCAAUGAAUUCCGUGGAUUGCUAGAUGGUGAUGAAGAUGACUUCUUCAGAAUGCGUGAAGAGGGGCAAUCUUUCCGACAGACAUAAAUCGAGAGUUAGCCUCAUCCGGGCAUCACAUGGAAACGAUUCAGCACCGAUGCCACCAAUUUUCUGGCCGUGGGCAUGUUUCUAGAAUGCAAAGCAUGGCAUUAUUUUAUAUGUGCUAAACUUUUGCCGGCAACAAUAUUUAUUUUUGGUUUUAUGAGUUUUGGUGUAAUAUUUUUUGCUUAUUUUAUUCACCAGGACUCAAUAAUUAUUUUUACAAUAGAGUCAAUUUAGUUAAACAUUGAAU